AAUAUGCAUUAUUUUUCACCAAGGUUUAUUUUACUGUACACAUAAACACAUAUUCUACAAAUGAUUGUAAUUGUAAUUUGACUAGUAAAGCAGAAUUUUCAGCGCCGGACUUGGAAAACUCCAAAUCAUCAAACCACUAAUAGCUAUAUUUCCGCUAAUUAUGUUUGGAUUGUGGCGGAUAAUUAAAAUUAAGUACCUAAAUAAUAAACGAAGUAUAAUGGUAAAUACCGUAUAACGGUAAGUAUAAGUGUACGAAUUGAAAAUGUAUUAACAGUUAAAUUAUUUAAAUAGUUAUAAAAAAUAAAAACUUAAACUUCAACUUGUUUAUUUUGUCGAAGACUAGUAAAAAA
rnacentral:lncRNA from 1 species